CCCUGCUCUUCGCUGGAACCCUGGCUCUAAUUUCCUUUCCGGGUCUGACUUUCUCCGCCACGUGGAUCCAGGUGCACCCCGCCAUCUACUGGCAGACAAUGGUCAUUGCAGGUGCAAUGUGAGCAUGCGUGCAAAUGCCUAUGAAAACCACAAGAGGGCGCCAGAGACC